UAUAGAAAAGCCUAAUUUACUUAAUUUAAUAAAUAUUUUUGUUGGGAACUGUAUCUCCAUUUUGUCACAAGGGGGCGCGUCUUCCCAGUGAGGCGGCCGGUGACGCUGGUAUCCGGGAGGCUCGCCGGAAGGAAACGCAUCACCUGUUGCCGUUUCAUCAUUUCUCUGUCCUUUAAAGAUUCUUCAUUCAGUGUGGAGGGAUGCGAGAAAAACAAAUAUUUCUUCACGAAUUCAGCGUAACACGGAGUCAGAUCGUCUCUAUUGCUGCUGGUGUCCCUCGUCCCUCAUGGUCCUUGCAUUGUCCUGACAUGUUUGGGCGCUUGCCCCUUCGCUCACCCCAUUGUCCUCCAGCAGAGAGGAGUUGCGGUGUUUGCCACUCGGC